UCCGUGUUAACCACGGCAGUCUCUUUAGAGAGCCCAACUUAAUGAUGGCAACUAAAGACAAGGGUUGCGCUCGUUGCGGGACUUAACCCAACAUGUCACCACACGAGCUGACGACAGCCAUGCAGCACCUGUCUCUCUGUAGUAUUGCUACUAAGACCCUAUCUCUAGGGCUGUCAGAGGAUGUCAAAUCCAGGUAAGGUUCUUCGCGUUGCUUCGAAUUAAACCACAUGAUCCACCGCUUGUGCGGGCCCCCGUCAAUUCCUUUGAGUUUUAGUCUUGCGACCGUACUUCCCAGGCGGAGUACUUAUUGCGUUAGCUCCGGCUCAGCAGGGGUCAAGACCCGCCAAGCCUAGUACUCAUCGUUUACCGCGUGGACUAC
rnacentral:misc_RNA from 1 species